UCUACGGGAGGCAGCAGUGAGGAAUAUUGGUCAAUGGCCGCGAGGCUGAACCAGCCAAGUCGCGUGAGGGAAGACGGCCCUACGGGUUGUAAAUCUCUUUUGUCGGGGCGCAAAGCGUGUCACGUGUGACUCAUUGAGAGUACCCGGAGAAAAAGCAUCGGCAAACUCCGUGCCAGCAGCCGCGGUAAUACGGGGGAUGCGCUGGUUAUACGGAUUUAUUGGGUUUAAAGGGUGGGUAGGGGGAACGUUAAGUCAGUGGGCAAAUUGCGGGGCAAAAACCCUUCCCGCCAUUGAAACUGGCGUUCUUGAGUGGAAGAGAGGUAUGCGGAAUGCGUGGUGUAGCGGUGAAAUGCAUAGAUAUCACGCAGAACCCCGAUUGCGAAGGCAGCAUGCCGGCUUCCGACUGACGCUGAAGCACGAAAGCGUGGGGAUCGAACAGGAUUAGAUACCCUGGUAGUC
rnacentral:rRNA from 1 species